rnacentral:rRNA from 1 species
UACGUAGGGCGCAAGCGUUGUCCGGAAUUAUUGGGCGAAAGAGCUCGUAGGCGGCUUGUCACGUCGGGUGUGAAAGCCCGGGGCUUAACCCCGGGUCUGCAUUCGAUACGGGCUGGCUAGAGUGUGGUAGGGGAGGAUCGGAAUUCCUGGUGUAGCGGUGAAAUGCGCAGAUAUCAGGAGGAACACCGGUGGCGAAGGCGGCGUCCUGGACCAACACUGACACUGAUGAGCGAAAGCCAGGGGAGCAAACGGG